rnacentral:rRNA from 1 species
GAUGAACGCUGGCGGCGUGCCUAAUACAUGCAAGUCGAGCGAACGGACGAGAAGCUUGCUUCUCUGAUGUUAGCGGCGGACGGGUGAGUAACACGUGGAUAACCUACCUAUAAGACUGGGAUAACUUCGGGAAACCGUAGCUAAUACCGGAUAAUAUUUUGAACCGCAUGGUUCAAAAGUGAAAGACGGUCUUGCUGUCACUUAUAGAUGGAUCCGCGCUGCAUUAGCUAGUUGGUAAGGUAACGGCUUACCAAGGCAACGAUGCAUAGCCGACCUGAGAGGGUGAUCGGCCACACUGGAACUGAGACACGGUCCAGACUCCUACGGGAGGCAGCAGUAGGGAAUCUUCCGCAAUGGGCGAAAGCCUGACGGAGCAACGCCGCGUGAGUGAUGAAGGUCUUCGGAUCGUAAAACUCUGUUAUUAGGGAAGAACAUAGGUGUAAGUAACUGUGCACAUCUUGACGGUACCUAAUCAGAAAGCCACGGCUAACUACGUG